rnacentral:rRNA from 1 species
UACAGAGGGGGCCAGCGUUAUUCGGAAUUAUUGGGCGUAAAGGGCGCGUAGGCGGCCAUGCGUGUCUUCCGUGAAAUCCCUCGGCUUAACUGAGGACGUGCGGAAGAAACUGCAAGGCUUGAGUCCGGGAGAGGGGGGUGGAAUUCCCAGUGUAGCGGUGAAAUGCGUAGAUAUUGGGAGGAACACCGGUGGCGAAGGCGGCCCCCUGGACCGGUACUGACGCUGAGGUGCGAAAGCGUGGGGAGCAAACGGG